rnacentral:rRNA from 1 species
UGGGGAAUAUUGCACAAUGGGGGGAACCCUGAUGCAGCGACGCCGCGUGCGGGAUGGAGGCCUUCGGGUCGUGAACCGCUUUUACAGGGGAGCAAGCUUUCGGGUGAGUUAACUUUGUGAAUAAGCACCGGCUAACUACGUGCCAGCAGCCGCGGUAAUACGUAGGGUGCAAGCGUUGUCCGGAUUUAUUGGGCGUAAAGGGCUCGUAGGCGGUUCGUCGCGUCUGGUGUGAAAGCCCGCUGCUUAACGGUGGGUUUGCGUUGGAUACGGGCGGGCUUGAGUGCGGUAGGGGAGACUGGAAUUCUCGGUGUAACGGUGGAAUGUGUAGAUAUCGGGAAGAACACCUAUGGCGAAGGCAGGUCUCUGGGCUGUUACUGACGCUGAGGAGCGAAAGCGUGGGGAGCGAACA